CCUACGGGUGGCAGCAGUGAGGAAUAUUGGUCAAUGGGCGGGAGCCUGAACCAGCCAAGUCGCGUGAGGGAAGACGGUCCUAUGGAUUGUAAACCUCUUUAGGCGGGGAGCAAUGCCGGGCACGUGUGCCCGGAUGGAGAGUACCCGCAGAAUAAGCAUCGGCUAACUCCGUGCCAGCACCCGCGGUAAUACGGAGGAUGCGAGCGUUAUCCGGAUUUAUGGGGUUUAAGGGGUGCGUAGGCGGAUUUUUAAGUCAGCGGUAAAAUGUCCGGGCUCAACCCGGGCCGGCCGUUGAAACUGGGGAGCUUGAGUGGGCGGGAAGUAUGCGGAAUGCGUGGUGUAGCGGUGAAAUGCAUAGAUAUCACGAAGAACCCCGAUUGCGAAGGCAGCAUACCGGAGCCCGACUGACGCUGAGGCACGAAAGCGUGGGGAUCGAACAGGAUUAGAUACCCCGGUAGUC
rnacentral:rRNA from 1 species